rnacentral:tRNA from 1 species
UUCCCUGGCAGUCCAGUGGUUAGGACUCAGCACUUUCUCUGCUGAAGACCCAGGUUCAAUCCCUGGCUGGAAAA